UGGGGUAGUAGUCGUGUGGUUGUGUUUAAGAUUAGCAAUCAGCUCUUUUCUUCUCUCGUUUAUUGUAGUUAUGUGCCAGGUGUGUAUUGACAUCAUUGUGUAACAAAUAUAUCCAACUGUUCAACAGACUGGCACACAUGCUUUUGUUUCACACGUCUUCGAAUAUCUGAUAUCUUACUAUCCUCGUUCUCUCUCCACACGAACUAUUACAAACUUAAAGGACAAGAUGUCCAAUACAGACAACAUUGAGGACCAAGGUUCAGAUGAAAAACCGAAAUCUUUAAACAAAAGUUAUUCGUUGAUAAGAAUGACGACUGAAAACUCUGAUUUGUACAGGACUAAUUCCAAGAUGAUAUUGGUCACCCGUGAUCCAGUUUAUACCAACAAAACCAUUGUACAGGGCCAUUAUAUUGGACCAAAACCUCACAACUAUUUACCUUUGGCUAUUUUUGUGACUAUUAUCAACCCCUUACUCGGUCCAAUUAGUAUAAUGCUUUCAGUGAUGUCAAACCGUGCUUAUGCCCAAGGAGAUACCAAAUAUGCCCUCAAGUGGAGUUUGAACUCAUUCUUCUGGAGUGUCAUAUCCAUUGUGGUUGCUAUUGUGGUGUAUUUAGCCAUUGGUUUCUCCCUCAGCAACAUCAGAACUCGUGGUGGCUAUAUUGGCUAUUAAAACAACAACAAUAAGGAGGCUGACUCUAAUGCCGAUGGUCAAAGGAUGACCACUUUGUAAGAGUUGCUGCUCUCCUUCUCUCUCUCUCUCUCUCUCUCUCUCUCUUUCUCUCUCUCUGAU
rnacentral:misc_RNA from 1 species